UGAGGAGUCCAAUGUGCAACCCGUCAAUAGUCCGGUAACCGUGUGUGGUGAUAUCCAUGGCUAAUUUCAUGAUCUAAGGAAGCUUUUUCAGACAGGAGGUCAUGUACCAGAUACAAAUUACAUUUUUAUGGGAGAUUUUGUUGAUCGAGGUUAUAAUAGUCUUGAAGUUUUCACUAUUCUUUUGCUUCUUAA